CGAAUCCUGACACAGGGAGGUAGUGACAAGAAAUAACAAUACAGGGCUAUUUUAGUCUUGUAAUUGGAAUGAGUACAAUUUACAUCUCUCCACGAGGAUCAAUUGGAGGGCAAGUCUGGUGCCAGCAGCCGCGGUAAUUCCAGCUCCAAUAGCGUAUAUUAAAGUUGUUGCAGUUAAAACGCUCGUAGUCGGAUUUCGGGGCGGGCCCGCCGGUCUGCCGAUGGGUAUGCACUGGCGGGCGCGUCCUUCCUCCCGGAGACGGCUGCUACUCUUAACUGAGCGGUGGUCGGAGACGGGAUAUUUACUUUGAAAAAAUCAGAGUGUUUCAAGCAGGCAGUCGCUCUUGCAUGGAUUAGCAUGGGAUAAUGAAAUAGGACUCUGGUGCUAUUUUGUUGGUUUCGAGCACCGGAGUAAUGAUUAACAGGGACAGUCAGG
rnacentral:rRNA from 1 species